rnacentral:rRNA from 1 species
UACGUAGGGUGCGAGCGUUAAUCGGAAUUACUGGGCGUAAAGCGUGCGCAGGCGGUUUUGUAAGUCAGAUGUGAAAUCCCUGGGCUUAACCUGGGAAUUGCAUUUGGGACUGCAAGGCUUGAGUACGGCAGAGGGGGGUGGAAUUCCUGGUGUAGCAGUGAAAUGCGUAGAUAUCGGGAGGAAUACCGAUGGCGAAGGCGGCCCCCUGGGUCGAUACUGACGCUCAUGCACGAAAGCGUGGGGAGCAAACAGG